CUAAGGUCCCAAAUGCCGUGCUAAGUGGCGAAGGAUGUGGCGUUUCAUAAACAACCAGGAUGUUGGCUCAGAAGCAGCCACCAUUUAAAGAGUGCGUAAUAGCUCACUGGUCGAGAGACGCUGCGCCGAAAAUGUCCGGGGCUCAAGCACGGAACCGAAGCUAUGGCAUUGCGUAAGCAAUGGGUAGGGGAGCGUUCUUAUGGGGAAGAAGCAUUACCGUAAGGAGAUGUGGACACAUAAGAAGUGAGAAUGCCGGUAUGAGUAUCGAAAAGAAAGGUGAGAAUCCUUUCCACCGAAAGCCCGAGGGUUCCUGAGCAACGAUCGUCGUCUCAGGGUAAGUCGGGACCUAAGCCGAGGCACAGACGCAUAGGCGAUGGACAACAGGUUGAAAUUCCUGUACCGGAUGGAGUCAUUUGAGCAAUGGAGUGACGCAGGAGGGCACAUGAUCGCGCGACUGGAAGAGCGCGUCCAAGUGCGUAUGUUGAAUCGGAGGCAAAUCCCCGAUUCUGAAAGCAGAGACAUGAUGGGGAGUUAUAAGCGAUUAUGACGAACUCAUGGAUCCCACACUGCCAAGAAAAACUUCUAGCGAGACGAAAUCCGCCCGUACCGUAAACCGACACAGGUAGGCGGGGAGAGAAUCCUAAGGUGCGCGGGAAAACCCUCGUUAAGGAACUCGGCAAAUUGCAUCCGUAACUUCGGGAGAAGGAUGGCCCUGAGUAGGCGAAGUGCAGAAACGCACGGAACAGAAAAGGGUGGCAGAAAAGAGGCCCAAGCAACUGUUUACCAAAAACACAGGUGCCUGCGAAAGCGAAAGCUGAAGUAUAGGUGCUGACGCCUGCCCGGUGCUGGAAGGUUAAGGAGAGAGGUUAGCGCAAGCGAAGCUUUGAACUGAAGCCCCAGUGAACGGCGGCCGUAACUAUAACGGUCCUAAGGUAGCGAAAUUCCUUGUCGGGUAAGUUCCGACCCGCAUGAAAGGCGUAAUGAUUUGGGCGCUGUCUCAACGAGGGGCCCGGUGAAAUUGAAAUACCUGUGAAGAUGCAGGUUACCCGCGACUGGACAGAAAGACCCCAUGGAGCUUUACUGCAGCUUGAGAUUGAAUCCCGGUGGCAGACGCACAGGAUAGGUGGGAGGCUUUGAGAUAGUGACUUUGGUUGCUAUGGAGCCGACGUUGGGAUACCACCCUUCUGUUGCUGGGAUUCUAACGCGAAGAUUAACAACCUUGCGGACCAUCUCAGGUAGGCGGUUUGACUGGGGCGGUCGCCUCCGAAAGAGUAACGGAGGCGCCCAAAGGUUCCCUCAGGCCGGACAGAAACCGGCCGAAGAGUGCAAAGGCAGAAGGGAGCUUGACUGCGAGACAGACAAGUCGAGCAGAGACGAAAGUCGGGCUUAGUGAUCCGGUGGUACUGCGUGGAAAGGCCAUCGCUCAACGGAUAAAAGCUACCCUGGGGAUAACAGGCUAAUCUCUCCCAAGAGUUCAUAUCGACGGGGAGGUUUGGCACCUCGAUGUCGGCUCAUCACAUCCUGGAGCUGGAGUAGGUUCCAAGGGUUGGGCUGUUCGCCCAUUAAAGUGGUACGCGAGCUGGGUUCAAAACGUCGUGAGACAGUUUGGUUCAUAUCCAUCGCGGGCGCAAGAAGUUUGAGGGAGGCUGCUCCUAGUACGAGAGGACCGGAGUGGACGGAUCAACGGUGUACCAGUUGUCACGCCAGUGGCACGGCUGGAAAGCCGCAUCCGGAAAGGAUAAACGCUGAAAGCAUCUAAGCGUGAAGCCCGUCCCAAGAUGAGACUUCUCAUCAGCAAUGAGUAAGACCCCUUAAAGACGAUGAGGUUGAUAGGCUGUGAGUGGAAGAGCCGCGAGGCUUGGAGCGACGCAGUACUAAUAGGUCGAGGUCUUAACUUA
rnacentral:rRNA from 1 species